rnacentral:rRNA from 1 species
GAUGAACGCUGGCGGCGUGCCUAAUACAUGCAAGUCGAGCGAACGGACGAGAAGCUUGCUUCUCUGAUGUUAGCGGCGGACGGGUGAGUAACACGUGGAUAACCUACCUAUAAGACUGGGAUAACUUCGGGAAACCGGAGCUAAUACCGGAUAAUAUUUUGAACCGCAUUGUUCAAAAGUGAAAGACGGUCUUGCUGUCACUUAUAGAUGGAUCCGGGCUGCAUUAGUUAGUUGUUAAGGUAACGGCUUACCAAGGCAACGAUGCAUAGCCGACCGGAGAGGGUGGUCGGCCACCCUGGAACUGGAACGCGGACCAGACUCCUACGGGAGGGAGCAGAAGGGAAUCGGCCGCAAUGGGCGGAAGCCUGGCGGAACAACGCCACGUGAGUGGAAAAGGUUUUGGGAUCGGAAAGCUCUGUUGUUAGUGAAGAACAAGGACGUUAGUAACUGAACGGCACCUGACGGUAUCUAACCAAAAAGCAACGGCUAACUACGUG